rnacentral:rRNA from 1 species
UACGGGGGGAGCAGGCGUUGUUCGGAUUUACUGGGCGUAAAGGGCGCGUAGGCGGCCAUGCGUGUCUUCCGUGAAAUCCCUCGGCUUAACCGAGGAACUGCCAUCCAGACUGCUUGGCUUGAGACCGGGAGAGGUGAGUGGAAUUCCCAGUGUAGCGGUGAAAUGCGUAGAUAUUGGGAGGAACACCAGUGGCGAAGGCGGCUCACUGGACCGGUACUGACGCUGAUGCGCGAAAGCGUGGAGGACAGCA